UAGGGAAUCUUCGGCAAUGGACGGAAGUCUGACCGAGCAACGCCGCGUGAGUGAAGAAGGUUUUCGGAUCGUAAAGCUCUGUUGUAAGAGAAGAACGAGUGUGAGAGUGGAAAGUUCACACUGUGACGGUAUCUUACCAGAAAGGGACGGCUAACUACGUGCCAGCAGCCGCGGUAAUACGUAGGUCCCGAGCGUUGUCCGGAUUUAUUGGGCGUAAAGCGAGCGCAGGCGGUUAGAUAAGUCUGAAGUUAAAGGCUGUGGCUUAACCAUAGUACGCUUUGGAAACUGUUUAACUUGAGUGCAAGAGGGGAGAGUGGAAUUCCAUGUGUAGCGGUGAAAUGCGUAGAUAUAUGGAGGAACACCGGUGGCGAAAGCGGCUCUCUGGCUUGUAACUGACGCUGAGGCUCGAAAGCGUGGGGAGCAAACAGGAUUAGAUACCCUGGUAGUCCACGCCGUAAACGAUGAGUGCUAGGUGUUAGACCCUUUCCGGGGUUUAGUGCCGUAGCUAACGCAUUAAGCACUCCGCCUGGGGAGUACGACCGCAAAGUUG
rnacentral:rRNA from 1 species